UGCUGGUGACAGACUACUUGUGUUGCCCUGAGAUUCAUUUACUAAAACUUCUGUUUUUCUGAGAAGGGUAGAGUAUUUCCUUUUAAACCAGGUCUAUGAUUUUCAGAUUAUUUCUCCAAAGGCUGAAAAGAAAGUGGUUUUCAUAUGUUUAGCUGGUUUUGUUUUGCCUGUAGUCUGUAGAGCACUGUGGAAUUUACAUUUUUGCAGUUCUUGGGAUGGACCCCAGGGUCUUUGUACCAAGCUACAUCCCCAAGCCCUUUUUGUCUUUCAUUUUGAAUCAGGUUCUACUAAGUCACUGAGCUGCCCAGGCUGGGUUUAAACUUGUAGUCCUCCACCUCAGCCCCGAAGAGUGCUGGGAUUACAGGCGUGUGACACCGUGCUUGGUUUGAAAUUGACUUUUAAGAUGAAAAGAUUUUGAAGUCAUUUUGGGAGAUUUGGUAGUACAAGUGGUAUGAGACAAUGAAUAGAUUUAUCUGUUACUGUAAAUGUAUGAGGGUUUUUUCUUCUUUAAAAAGUUCCCUAAUGAAAACAAGGCUGCAAACUGCUUAUAAUUCACAUUUUAAUACAGCUACAAUCUGAAAGAGAUUGACUGUGUAUGACCUUUUACCACCUGUGGGUUUGUGAUGAAUGAAAGAAAUCUGGACAUUCUGACCUUUAUAGUGAAAAAAGUUUUCUAAAAAUCUGGUGAUCAAACCAUGUUCUAAAGUUGUUUGGUUUUUUUUGUUUUUUUUUUUCGGAAAAAAAAAUGUUUUAAAGUGAACUAUACUGCCAGUAAAGAAGAAAUGAGACAAGAAAAUUAUCCCAACUGUGAAAGAAAUAGAUUUAAGAUUUGGGGAAGGAAAAAAAAGUGAGUUUGCCCAAGCCCAGCAGGAGUGUGGUCCUAUAGCAGCUUCAUCUAUCUUUUAACUGAGAUUGGAGAUUAAAAAAAAAAAAAAAUGUGAGCCUGCUUUCUCUGAAGGUCGCAGAGGAAUGUUAAGAGGAUGUGAAGUCAUGUAGAUGAUCCAAACAGGUUCUGACAAGAUGUUGCAUAGUGCUUGCACAUACUGUUUGCUCAGUAGUUGAUGAAUAAACAAACAAAUGAAUGGCAGUGAUUGUCAUGGAAAGACCACCAGGAUCCUGUUGUGCAAGAAGCUCACUUGUUUGGGUCAGGGCAGAAAGGUGUGAGUGACAUCUUUUCUCAUUGUCACGGCCAGUACUUCUGGAACGAAAGAUAAAUAAACAGGCCCAGAGCAGCUUCUCUGAAAGCAGACAGAUGAUUCUGGCAGGACUAGGGUUUGAAUCCAGCUUGUCUGCUUCAAAGCCCACACUCAGUAGUCUUUCUGUCCUCCUCUUCGGGGGCCUGGUGCCCGACCCACAGGUCUCCUACAGACUUUUCCCAAGUAAAUGAAACUGCAGACUUUGCAGCCCUUCUCUUAGUAUUUGAGCUUAUACUAUUUGUAAUACAGUAGUACAAUGUAAACGUUAUGAAUAAACAUUAUAUAAAAGAAGAACUUCUGAGCUUGUAAUCCAGUGACAUCUCUAAGGACAACAAGCUAGCCUUUUAUUUCUGUGUCCUUGUGUUUUUAAUAUAACCCAGUGUUACUCAUGGCCUGCUCUCCUGGAUACCAGUCCUUGUGAUUUGUUUGAACCUAUUGUGGUCCAUUACUGAGUUACACAGUCAAGAUUAGCAACUGUUGCCAACAUAUGAAUGUAAUGCUCUAAACUGGCUUGGAGCUCUGGCUCCAUGGAUCCAAUUUGCAGAUAAUUGAA